AUUUUUGUAUAAAAUAAUGCCUGGUAUGAAUAAUAAUAAUAUAAUAACAUAUCGUCGCCUUAAAGUGUAAACCUGCUAAGUCCAUUUUUUGCUAAAAUGCGUUUUUUCUAAAAACCGGCAGCACUAUAUAUUCUACGUUGAUUAGUUAACCUGCCAACUACAAAUGUGUAAUAAUAAUCCUUAUUUUAUACGAUGAGAAUAACAGCUAACUCCCGCCGACUCAAAUCCACUUUGUAAACACAGCCAUGUGCAUUUUCAAUGGUGAUCUUGUGAGAACGUGUCGUAAUUGAGUUUAAUGUGCAUUAUUUUAAGUUACUUCUAGUAUUUUGGGCGUUUGAAAUAUUUUUUUUAUUUAAUAACACAAGAGAUGUCACGUGCCAAACGAAUCCAUGAUAUGGCCAUCGGCCAAACAGCAAAUGAAACCGAAGACUCAGAGCUGGGAGAAGACUCUGAGCAUAAUACUUGGGAGUAUUCUUUUGGGGAAAGCAGUGGUUGUAGACUCAAUUCCCCUGUCGUUGGAGUUACCAAUAGAUAUAUUAGACUCUCCCAUUAAAGAAAAUCAACCCUUUGAAAACUUCCAAAUAGCCGAAAAUCUGCAAAUUGAUUUUAUUGGCGAAAAUGGACAAAAAUUAGAUAAUUGUGAGGAAGUUAUUGUACUGAAUGAAAUUCCUUUACUGGACAACUUAAAUGAAGUUCCUCGUGCUUCUACAUCAGGAAUCAAUCAUAUUAAAAAAACAAUCCAAUAUAGAAUAUACAAUUUCUGAUAUUUCCGAUGACGAAGCUAGCAGGUUGGUACUAUAUUCGGAUUCCGACUCAGGCUCAUCUUAUCCGAAAAAAAGUAAGAAACGUAAAAAGCGCUUUCAAGUACAAGAAUCAACGUGGUUUACUGAAAAAAAUAGAAAGUUAAGAGAAAGGGGUCAAAGUUACUUGGGACGAAACAAAAAAAAUGGAAAAUGGACCUAUAACAAUCCAAAAAAACCUCGUACAAUGAAGGAAAGGUGCAAAUGUAAACUAAACCCUAAAGGAAUGUUAAAAUGCUCCGCAGUAAAUGAAGGUCAAAGGCAACCUAUUUUUAACAACUUUUGGAAAAUGACUUGGGCGGAAAAAAAAGUUUAUGUAAACACUCUUGUCUUUUCUAUGCCACCUAAAAGACACAGAAACCGACAAAAAGAAAAUGAAAGUAAAAGGGGACAAACCCUUCAAUAUUUUUUAAGAGUAGGAGAAGAAAAAACUUAGAGUUUGUAGGACAAUGUUCAUCACCACUUUAGGAAUAGGUCGCUGGACGAUACUUCAUUGGAAACGGUCUUUUCAAUCCCGUUCGCCUAAUGUUCAAAGAGAAACGUCAAUGGAAGGUCAAAAGAAGCCAUUCGAAUUGGGUCGUGAAUGUUUACUGCAAUUUUUAAAAUCAUUGGCGACAUCUCGGAAGAUGAAUACAAGAGUCACAUAUAAAAGAAAAAUGCGGCAAGGGAGGAAAAGGAAAAGGAUAAAAAUACACAAAAAUAUUAUGUAUUUACGGUGGAUUUGCAAGAUGUGCUAAUGUGUCCCGUAUCUAAAGUGUCUACUUUAUAUUAUAAAACAAAACUUCAAGUGCACAAUCUUUGUUUUUACAAUUUAAUGAAUUCAUAUGCUUAUUGCUUUCUAUAGAAUGAAUCUGAAGGUGAACUUAAUGCUAAAGAAUUUGCAAGCAUAUGGUUAUUUUUUUAGAAAAAAAAAUAUUGCCAAAUAUUACACCUCCAGAAGAUCCUAAUAAGUCACCCUUAUUAUAUAUUCUGAUGGAUGUGGAUACCAAAAUCGCAACUGCAUUAUGUCGAAUGUUUUACUUAACAUUGCUAUUGCCCAUAACAUUAUAAUAGAGCAGAAAUAUCUUGAACCUGGACAUACGCAGAUGGAAGUUGAUUCUGUUCAUGCUAAAAUUGAGCAAAAGCUUAAAGAUAGAGUAAUUAAUAUACCUGCUGAUUAUCUUUCUGUUUGCCAACAGGCAAGAAAAAUUCCUGCGCCGUAUGAUGUAAACUAUCUUACUUACGACUUUUUUUAAAGUUUUAAUUUUGUGCAAUAUUAUAAAAAAAUCAGACCUGGUAAUGUUAAAGGAGACCUGAAAGUUACUUAUAUUCGAGCUCUGAGAUACAUGCCGGAAGGAGAUAUUUUCUAUAAAAUUCAUUUUUCGGACUCAUGGGAAAUUCUCCCACAAUGGAAAAGCCGAAUAUCUAAAACAUAUUUAUGGGAAGAUUUAAGUCCACUUUACUUGGAGAGAAUUAAAAUAGAAUCCCGAAAAUAUGAAGAUCUACAGGCUAUAAAAAAAACUUUGCCUCGGAACUACUACACAUUUUAUGAUGACUUGCCCCAUAAAACAAAGUAAUUUAGGAUAAAAUUAUGUUAAGAAUAUUAUUUUUCACUAAUUUUUUACUUUGUUAAUUCAAAUAAUUUUAGAAUUUUUUUGUAAUAAAAUAUUAAACGAU
rnacentral:lncRNA from 1 species